rnacentral:rRNA from 1 species
ACUCAAAGGAAUAGACGGGGACCCGCACAAGCGGUGGAUGAUGUGGUUUAAUUUGACGGUACGCGAAGAACCUUACCCAGACUUGACAUCCCGCGAAGGCGCUGGAAACAGUGCUGUGCCUUCGGGAACGCGGUGACAGGUGCUGCAUGGCCGUCGUCAGCUCGUGUCGUGAGAUGUUGGGUUAAGUCCCGCAACGAGCGCAACCCCUGUCGUCUGUUAUAUAUUUCAGGCGAGACUGCCCGGGCCAACCGGGAGGAAGGUGGGGUCGAAGUCAGGUCAGCAUGGCCCUUACGUCUGGGGCUACACACGUCAUACAAUGGCCGGUACAACGCGUUGCCAACCCGCGAGGGGGAGCUAAUCGCACCAAAACCGGUCCCAGUUCGGAUUGAAGGCUGCAACUCGCCUCCAUGAAGUCGGAAUCGCUAGUAACCGUGGGUCAGCAUACCACGGUGAAUACGUUCCCGGGUCUUGUACACACCGCCCGU